rnacentral:lncRNA from 1 species
GGACACUCUGAGCAGUCAGCAGCCCUCUCCUAACAGUACUGGCACCCGAUCUCCCGCUACCAGUCUCCAGAACCUAGUGAAGGAAAUUUCUGUGGUUAUAAGCCACUUAGUCUACAGGGUUUUUGUUAGAGCAGCCCCAACGAACUAAGACAACUUGCUUAUCCUUUCGCCUUAUUUCUCAAUUGGUUGAGAACUCUGGCAGGGAAGGGGCCGUCUUUUGGACCUUCCCAAAAAGCCCAACACGGGGAGGCUUCUUUGAAUGAGGUAUAAUGUCCGGUUAAUAAGCGAGAGCAAUAAUUCAGCACUGGGGACGUGUUUUCUCUCUUCCAUUCACUUAUUCAUCCCACAUUGACGUGCUAAGCACCCACUACAUGCCUGGCACUUCGCUAGGUACCCGUCAAGUAAGGAUGAGCCAUUGACAGUGGGAGCAAAGGGCCUGAUCAAAACUGAACGGAGUUCUCACGUCCGACCUUCCUCCAGGAGAUUGAACAAGAAGGGGGUAGAAGUUCCCGAUCCCCCAGCUGCGCUCAACAUCAGCCUGUUGCAUGUUUUUCAACAUAAAUCAGCCAGAGUUGGUUGCCUUUGCGAGAGAAAAUACCAUCACGACUGGCGGCACAUGGACUGUAAGAAUCAGAACUUUGUGAGGUUAGGAGGAGACUUUCAAAUUUUGGGUCAGGGAGGCUUGGAGGCCUGCUGAUGAAGAGCACGGGCUCUUGAGUCAACCUGUCCUGGAUAUAAAACCUGGCUCUGGGUUUGUUGGUUAUGGACUGAUGUGGGACACCUAACCUAACAUCCCGAGCCUCAGGUCCUCAGGUCCUCAGCUGGGAAUAGAGGGUAACACCAGCACCUAGCUCCCAGGGCUGGUAGUGCGGUGAAGCGCACAACAACCUUUGGCUGUUAUUUUAGUGACCGUUUUCCAAGAUUUCUUCUGAGAAGUCAUACAAAACAGGAAUGUACAUUGCAAAAAAGAUGCUGAGCAGGAAGGCCCUAAAGAAAGCCUUUCUCCAAAGAGGAUGUUUAUUUCAGAGACACACAGGGGGACGCUCAACCAGCUGUCUUCCAGGAAAUCGUCCACAAGCCAGGGCGAGUUCUAAAUUUUAAGUGACCAGCCAAUGUCAAAGGGUUGGAAAGAGAAGAAAACAAACAAGGAUGAUGUAAAAAUCCAACCACAAACUGCAUAAACUCUUAAGGACUCCAAGAUUUCAUGAGAAUCCUGACUUUGGAGGUGUUUCCCAUCUCCAUUAGAAGAAGAAUCAAAAUUAUCAUCCAGCUUCUAUCGGCAGCAGACUGUGAACUUAAUAGGAAAUAUCAGAAACCAAAUCCUGAGGCUCUCUGGGAUCUUGGAAACCGUAAGAUGUAAAUGAUUAAUUCACACUCGGAGUCUCAAGGCCUUUGCACUGAAAAUUUUUUCUGUUGCAAAUGUCCCCCCCCCCC